rnacentral:rRNA from 1 species
UGUAAGCUCCAGUGAUUUGGCGGGGGAUGGUUAGUGGAUUCGCGGCGGCCUGCAGGUCGACCGUGAGGUGGAGCUCCCUUCGCGUUGGAUGCGGGAAACGGGGAUUAUUUCCUGAUAUCACCUUAGCUUGGCGGUUUCGUGGUGGUAACAGUUUCCUGAGGAAGAUGGGCCCGCGGCCUAUCAGCUUGUUGGUGAGGUAACGGCUCACCAAGGCGACGACGGGUAGCCGACCUGAGAGGGUGACCGGCCACACUGGGACUGAGACACGGCCCAGACUCCUACGGGAGGCAGCAGUGGGGAAUAUUGCACAAUGGGCGCAAGCCUGAUGCAGCGACGCCGCGUGCGGGAUGACGGCCUUCGGGUUGUAAACCGCUUUUGACAGGGACGAAGCGCAAGUGACUGUACCUGUAGAAUAAGGACCGGCCAACUACGUGCCAGCAGCCGCGGUAAUACGUAGGGUCCGAGCGUUGUCCGGAAUUACUGGGCGUAAAGAGCUUGUAGGCGGUUCGUCGCGUCGUUUGUGAAAACUUGGGGCUCAACCUUAAGCUUGCAGGCGAUACGGGCGGACUAGAGUACUUCAGGGGAGACUGGAAUUCCUGGUGUAGCGGUGAAAUGCGCAGAUAUCAGAAGGAACACCGGUGGCGAAGGCGGGUCUCUGGGAAGUAACUGACGCUGAGAAGCGAAAGCAUGGGUAGCAAACAGGAUUAGAUACCCUGGUAGUCCAUGCCGUAAACGGUGGGUACUAGGUGUGGGGCUCCUUCCACGGACUCCGUGCCGUAGCUAACGCAUUAAGUACCCCGCCUGGGGAGUACGGCCGCAAGGCUAAAACUCAAAUGAAUUGACGGGG